GGUGGAGAAAACUAAGGAGACGCGAAUCAGAUUUGGGAGUAAUUAUGCACGCAAUCGAGGCGUCCCUCUUAAUUAGCCUGCUGCUAAUAACGCGAUUUUGAGAUAAUCCGCCAGUCUCCCGAAGACUAGUCCUGAAUCAGUCAUCAACUCUCCCUUCCUCGCCACGAAGCCACCCAACCCGGAGCUCGCCGGCCGCCAGCAGCCGUGCCGCCUCUCCGUCGCCAACCCUCUAAUCAAGCCUUCUCCUUGCGUGGAACCCUGCCGCCCGGCCGCCGUCGAGUGCCGCUCCAGCCCGGCCUCUCCUGCUCCCCGACCUCCCUCGUAAAUCGUAACCGGCAAGGCCGCCCCAUCCGCUCGCCGGUGCGGUCCUGCUCCGGCGCUCUUCCAGGAGGAGGACACGGACCGGUUCCUGCAGAUGCGCGGCUCUCCUGCUCCUGAACGACGGUGGCACAGCCCGAUGGAGCCGCAUCACCAUCCUGGAACGGGAGCCACGGCCGACCACCAGAACGCCAACCACCCCUACUCAACUCCGCCCGCUCCCCUCUGACGGGCCCAAUGUGAUGCAAACGGAAGAGCUAUUGGAGCUGUCCGAUUACAUGUAGGCCAAGGCGGCGGCGGGUGCAGCACUAACAACUUGCUCCAUUUAGACGACUGUGGGGACAAGAAUUGUAUGGCUCAUAGUAAGGCUGGUUUACCGGAUGCACUCACAUCAUGCAGGAGCUCACCACCAAGGCCCACCGCCAUGACAUUGACACCGCUGGUUAGGAGCUCGUCGACAUUGACACCAUAACGUCAAGCUUCUUCCUUUGAAUGCUGCCGUGUAUGUCGGCAUCCAAGAGCAAGUCGAGAUCCUACCAAAAUCUCACGCUUCAAAUAAAGAGGCCAUGAGUGAAGAAACUGCUGAAGUUGCUAAAAAGAAAAGGAGUGCCGCCGCAUUCUCUUGGCCUGCAGGUUGAUUAUACAACCGGAAAUUCAGUUGCUCAAGGGUUAGAUAUACCAGCCAAGGUGGUGGUGAUGGUGAGGAUGGGCGGCGGCAAGAUUAGAAACGACGACUUGCUCCACUUGAUGUUGCUAGGGAUAAGAGCAGCUAUGACGACUCAUUAAUAGGGGAGAAAUGGAGCUGGACAGUAGAGGUGGCCAUUGCUGCUGGAUCAGGCCAGUCGACAACGUGGGUUUAGGGACGCUUUUGGUUGCUGCCUCCCGUGUCAUGUGGGGUCAAGUCGUGUGGGAUUGCAACAAGUGCUUAUUUGCACUAAUAGUAGUUGUGAGACGCAUUGGGAGCAACACAAACUAUUUUGGUUGACCUCAUCGUGUGUAAUGAUCUAGAUUAUAAUUUCACUCGAAUAGAUUGAGUUCUGAAUUCAGAUUUAGCAUUUAGAGAAAGUGCUCAUAAAUAGUAGUUUCAGUUACAGUAUGAAAUUGAUAAAGUUCAACUCUUUAUAAUUUUUUUGAUAGGCCAAUCUCUGUUUGGUCCAGCUCAUGUUGCCAUUCAUGAUUGUUUAAAGUGUGUUGCUGGCUAAUGGUUUAGCUUUGCUAUAGGAGGUACAAUAUCUAGUUGGAGUAUGUAUUUACGUGCAGAUUCCACACAAUUAGUUGUUGGGUUUUAUCACCACAACCCGAAUCACUAACUCACUGAAAAAUUGUUGCUUGUGUUUAUUCUGAGCAAGAGUUCAUCUACUAGAAGGUAAUUGAAAUGCCUCCCCUGUUUUUCCGAGGCCCUAGUGUCAUGUAUUUGCCUCUCGCAACUAUUACUACACACAAGCUUAAUUAUUUGGGUUUUUGCUGGGCUGGCCAUUCAACGCAACUAUUACUACACACAAGCUUAAUUAUUUGGACGUGUUUUCUUUAUUCUGUCAUUAAGUGGCAUUUCUUUGUUUUAUUUGCCAACAUAAUUCCUUAUUUGUCCUCUUUGUAUUUCAGGCUUUUGGUUCCAAGGCUUCGUGAGGUCGUGGAGGCCAAGGGGACCUCCCGCAAGAGGAAAAUGGUCACCUACAUCAUCAGGCAUGCAGUCCAUCGUCUUUUUCAGGGGGGGCAGCAGCUUAAGACAGACGCCUUCAACUCCUGUUGGCCUGACUGUUGGCUUCGAUGUCCUCAAGCAACAGCCGUAGGGAGGUGCUCUGGUGGCUUGAGAUUAACUAAGCGGUCCCGUCAAGUCCUCAUUGUCUCCUGGGUCUCUAGCAUUGAUUUCAUUCGAUAAUCUCUACAUGCGUAUAGCCAGAUCGAAGUGCGCCAUCUCGUGACGCCUGGAAGGUCGAGUUCGUUGGUAGGAGAGGGUGAUUGUGGGCGCCAACGUUCUGCUCCUCGAAGUCAAAACCUAGGUGUUCAUAGGGAUCAAAACCCCGUCUACUAUUGCUCCCCCAGCAAGGAUUUGAUUGGGGCACAAAGUUUCAGAAAAAAUUCUAUCUUGAGAGCCGCUUGGCUCCAACAUGAAGUGUGGUGGCCACCGAUAAGGUCAGGUGAGAGGGGGAGACUGAAGGCGCCACCGUCUUGCUCCUUAGCGUCCUUGGCAUUGAAACCCAGGUGUUCAAAGGCAUCAAAUGGUGCCACAUAUUAUGUACUAAUGCUCCCAAGCAGCAAUUUGAUUGGAGCAGCAGCUCGUUUCAGAGAAACUGUUAUCAUGAGCGCCACUAUGAUCGAACAUGACACACCAUUGAUGCCGGCCAUUGUUUGUUUGGUGCUCAUGCUGUCGGUCUGACCGCUAUGGUCAGGUUAGAGGAAGUGCUGGGACGAACCAGGUCGCCGCCUCUGCCAGGUUGCUACGUCAAUUGGAGCAGCCCCUCAGACUUCACAGCUGAGGGAUUUCCUAUCACUGGACUGUUGCGUUUGAGAGCAUCUUUAUAACUGUUAAGACAACUGCUUGGUGCGGUGGAGGCAAUGUUUGGUCUCGGCUACAACCUCUCCGGUUGGAAUUUCGUAUAGCUGUUGCAUCCAUGAGUGCAAGGCAAGAAAGCUGAACAAUUUGGUAGGACUGUCGAUGGCGAGAUGGACACGAAAGUCACUUAUCAUCCAUUUUCUUUGUUGGUUGGAUGGCAUCCUAGCUAAUCGCAGUGGUGAAAAUGAAGCCAGGAUUUUCCUAUCAAUGGACUGUUGCCUUUGAGAGCAUCUUUGUAGCCGUUAAGACAAUUGUUUGGUGAGGUGGAGGCAAUGCUUGGCCUCGGAUACUAUACAACCUCUUCGAUGAGCUCCUGGUUCACCAUUUGAUCUCCUUAUCCAAUAUGCUCUGUGAUACUCUAUGUGUUGUGUGCAUUUGGUUUCCGUCGCUGUAGAUGAACUGCAGUCAGGCCCCAGUCUGCAAUUAGAUCGAAUUCAGAACAUUUAUAACAAUGCUGCUGCCGUUGAUUCGGAAGAAUAAUUGAUAGCCUUAGAACAAAUAUAUAUUGAUAUUUUAUCUUUUAUUCCUGGGCAUGAUUUCAUUGAGUAGUAGAGCUGUCAAUAUAUACAGCCGUGCAUCGUGUCCUUUUUUUGUUAAUUUUUUUAUCCAGUAUUAUAUGCAUGAAUAUGGUGUGUUGUCAUAGGAAUCAACACAUAAUGGGUAAAAAGAAUCCAAGCGUUGCCUUGUAAAAUUAGGAUUGCAGUUGCUUAUAUGUGCUAUGUGCAUUCAUUCAUCCCCUUGAUUGUGUGUAGCUGUUGUGGCUGAUGGAGGGACAGCAAGCGGCUUGCCAUGGUCUUGGUCGCUGCCUCCACCCUGCUCCAGGAACCCACCAGCAGAUACGCGAGCAGGAGCUGGCUGGUUUGCGCUGCUUCACUGACCUCGUCACUGGGGCUCUUGUGUGCUUGGCAGCCGGCAGCCGCGGACGGUGGUGUUGGUGGAGGCCGGCGAUAUUGCAGCGGCGUUGACUUGUUGUGGCUUGGUUAUUUGACAGCGGAAUUAGCCAUCAGUUGACCCUGUUUUGUCGGUGCCGUGUAGCUGUAGGUGGCAUGCUUUUGUUUUCGUUGUUGUUUCAAGUUGAGAACCUUGGCUAGGUCCAUGUGUGAGGUGAUGGGUAAGUGUGCUGUGUGUGAUGCAAGUAAGUGCUCCUGUUAGCUUGGUUUUCGUGAUCUGACAGGACUUGAUGCUUAUGUAUUGUUCCAUGUAAUUUUGAUGCAAAGGAGUUCAUGGCAAAAGUUUGAACUUUUACUGUUUAGAACACAGA